ACCAGUUUGGCUCAGUGGAUAGAGCGUUGGCCUGCGGACUCAAGGGUCACAGGUUCGAUUCCGGUCAAGGGCA
rfam:Myotis lucifugus cont2.22026, whole genome shotgun sequence.